UACGGAGGGGGCUAGCGUUGUUCGGAAUCACUGGGCGUAAAGCGCACGUAGGCGGCUUUCUAAGUCAGGGGUGAAAUCCUGGAGCUCAACUCCAGAACUGCCUUUGAUACUGGAGAGCUUGAGUCCGGAAGAGGUGAGUGGAACUCCGAGUGUAGAGGUGAAAUUCGUAGAUAUUCGGAAGAACACCAGUGGCGAAGGCGGCUCACUGGUCCGGUACUGACGCUGAUGUGCGAAAGCGUGGGGAGCAAACAGG
rnacentral:rRNA from 1 species